rfam:Shimia sp. SK013 shim_contig000019, whole genome shotgun sequence.
GUUCAGGGGUCUGCAAGAACCUCGUGAGGCGCCAGCCCAAACUUGCAUCCUUCCAACCUGUUCAAGGAGGAUGCUUUAUG